AACGAACGCUGGCGGCGUGCCUAACACAUGCAAGUCGUGCGAGAAAGUUCCUUCGGGAGCGAGUAAAGCGGCGCACGGGUGAGUAACACGUAGGUAACCUGCCCCCCAGUCUGGAACAACUAGAGGAAACUCUAGCUAAUGCCGGAUGAGACCACGAUCCCUUCGGGGGUUGCGGCCAAAGAUGGCCUCUACUUGUAAGCUAUCGCUGAGGGAUGGGCCUGCGGGCCAUUAGCUUGUUGGUGAGGUAACGGCUCACCAAGGCUGUGAUGGCUAGCUGGUCUGAGAGGAUGACCAGCCACACUGGGACUGAGACACGGCCCAGACUCCUACGGGAGGCAGCAGUGGGAAUAUUGCGCAAUGGGCGAAAGCCUGACGCAGCGACGCCGCGUGGGUGAUGAAGGCCUUCGGGUCGGUAACG
rnacentral:rRNA from 1 species